CAGCAGCCGCGGUAAUACGAAGGGUGCAAGCGUUAAUCGGAAUUACUGGGCGUAAAGGGCGCGUAGGCGGUGAGUUAAGUCUGUUGUGAAAUCCCCGGGCUCAACCUGGGAAUGGCAAUGGAUACUGGCUCGCUAGAGUGUGAUAGAGGAUGGUGGAAUUCCCGGUGUAGCGGUGAAAUGCGUAGAGAUCGGGAGGAACAUCAGUGGCGAAGGCAGCCAUCUGGAUCAACACUGACGCUGAAGCACGAAAGCGUGGGGAGCAAACAGGAUUAGAUACCCGCGUAGUCCCUGUCUCUUAUAC
rnacentral:rRNA from 1 species